GUUCUUUUCCUGUUGGGGACCUGCAGUGCUGUUAGAGUUCCCCGGCAAUUUGUCAACCUGGGAUUCGUACCAGAGGGUCCUUUCCAUCCUGCGUACUACCCGAAUUAUAUACUUCAUGAAGUUUCCCAGGUGGAUCCCAACCAUCCCACCUCGACGGGACUCAUUUCUGGAGGAAGACCUGGCAUUUCGCAACUCCAAUCUUCACUCCACUAUUUUUCCGGGCCGCUAUAUGGUUACAGAAUUUAUCUAAGACCGCUGUUUCCGAACUACCAACAAACGAUACCGAGCUACGGUCUCCAAGAACUUCCUUUCAAGCCACCACAAGGAAGACCUUUAUCAGAGGAUGAUGGAGGUGAGAAGAUGGAUCAAAAGGUUGAUACAGAGAUGUCAAGUAACUUCAGUGGCAGCGCAAAUCAAACUGAAAAUGAUGAUGACAGUGUUAUAAUUGAUGCCAUUUAACAAUUCCCAGAUUAAUGUAUUCUUUACAUGUUUUGUAUUCAU